GGAGGCGUGGCAGAGCGGUUGAAUGCACCGGUCUUGAAAACCGGCGAUGGCUAACCCCAUUCGUGAGUUCGAAUCUCACCGCCUCCGCCA
rnacentral:tRNA from 2 species